GCAAGUCGAGCGGAUUGAUGGGAGCUUGCUCCCAUCAGUCAGCGGCGGACGGGUGAGUAACACGUGGGUAACCUGCCUGUAAGACUGGGAUAACUCCGGGAAACCGGGGCUAAUACCGGAUAACUCAUUUCCUCGCAUGAGGAAAUGUUGAAAGGUGGCUUUUAGCUAUCACUUACAGAUGGACCCGCGGCGCAUUAGCUAGUUGGUGAGGUAACGGCUCACCAAGGCGACGAUGCGUAGCCGACCUGAGAGGGUGAUCGGCCACACUGGGACUGAGACACGGCCCAGACUCCUACGGGAGGCAGCAGUAGGGAAUCUUCCGCAAUGGACGAAAGUCUGACGGAGCAACGCCGCGUGAGUGAUGAAGGUUUUCGGAUCGUAAAACUCUGUUGUUAGGGAAGAACAAGUACCGUUCGAAUAGGGCGGUACCUUGACGGUACCUAACCAGAAAGCCACGGCUAACUACGUGCCAGCAGCCGCGGUAAUACGUAGGUGGCAAGCGUUGUCCGGAAUUAUUGGGCGUAAAGCGCGCGCAGGUGGUUUCUUAAGUCUGAUGUGAAAGCCCACGGCUCAACCGUGGAGGGUCAUUGGAAACUGGGGAACUUG
rnacentral:rRNA from 1 species